UACGUAGGCAGCGAGCGUUGUUCGGAAUUACUGGGCGUAAAGAGUGUGUAGGCGGUGCUCUAAGUUCGGUGUGAAAUCUCCCGGCUUAACUGGGAGGGUGCGCUGGAAACUGGAGUGCUCGAGCGUGGGAGAGGAAAGCGGAAUUCCUGGUGUAGCGGUGAAAUGCGUAGAUAUCAGGAGGAACACCUGCGGUGUAGACGGCUUUCUGGACCAUUGCUGACGCUGAGACACGAAAGCGUGGGUAGCAAACAGG
rnacentral:rRNA from 1 species